GGAUAGCAGAGGUCCAUUCCAACUUUUGGAUUGGAAUGGUGUUUUGUUUGAAUGUUUAAAGGCUGGAUAGUCACAUCAAAGUUCAGUCUAAAAGGAUGGUCUUCUCCUUGCAAAGGAAUCAUCCUUUUAUUAUGUGGCUCUCUGAACACAUCGUAAUUGUUGCCGUUUUAUAGAACAAUUCAAAUAUAACCAUUAAGAUGAUUGGUGGAGGUGAAGGGGAAUUGAAGAUAUCAACAGAAGAAGUGGAUUUAGAUACUACAUGAUAUAAUGCUGUCAAUUGAGGUGAUGUCAUGAAACAACGUAGAGUUCCAUGGGGCAAAAUGGUUGUUUUUAAAUGGUCCAAGAGUCAAAAGAUGCUUUGUUUGCAGUAGAUCAAGAAAUUUGAAAUCUCAUAAAAUCGUUAUUACCAAUUUUAAUGUUUAGAAAACAUUAUUAUAUUUUCUUUAGUAAUUGUGGUAGUUUUUUUUAACUAUUUCAACAUUUUCAAUUGUUUUUAGUUUAUUGUUUAUUUUAACAUCAUUUAACAUAUGUAUUUGUAUGAGUUAUUUUAUGUUU
rnacentral:lncRNA from 1 species